ACACCCAAUGGGUUUAACCCCUUCAGGUGGAUCAACCAAUGUCCAAACAUCAUUGACCUUCAUAGACUCUAUUUCGGAUUUCAUGGCUUCAAGCCAUUUCUCGAAAUCAUAUCUCUACAUUGCAUCCAUAUAAGUGAUCAGAUCCUCAUCAUUCUCAUCGAGUUCGAUGGGAUCACCGUCCCAGACCAAGAAACUGUAGUAUCUAUCC
rnacentral:lncRNA from 1 species